GUGGAUUAGAUACCCUAGUAGUCCACGCCGUAAACGAUGGGCACUAGGCGUCGGGGGGAGCGACCCUCCCGGUGCCGUAGCUAACGCUCUAAGUGCCCCGCCUGGGGAGUACGGCCGCAAGGCUGAAACUCAAAGGAAUUGACGGGGGCCCGCACAAGCGGUGGAGCAUGUGGUUUAAUUCGAAGCAACGCGAAGAACCUUACCUGGGCUUGACAUGUACGGGAAAGCCGGUGGAAACACCGGGCCUCCUUCGGGACUCGUACACAGGUGCUGCAUGGUUGUCGUCAGCU
rnacentral:rRNA from 1 species